CCCAGCUUGCUGGGUGGAUCAGUGGCGAACGGGUGAGUAACACGUGAGCAACCUGCCCCCUACUUCGGGAUAAGCCUUGGAAACGGGGUCUAAUACCGGAUAUGAGCAUCUGCCGCAUGGUGGGUGUUGGAAAGUUUUUCGGUGGGGGAUGGGCUCGCGGCCUAUCAGCUUGUUGGUGGGGUAAUGGCCUACCAAGGCGUCGACGGGUAGCCGGCCUGAGAGGGCGACCGGCCACACUGGGACUGAGACACGGCCCAGACUCCUACGGGAGGCAGCAGUGGGGAAUAUUGCACAAUGGGCGAAAGCCUGAUGCAGCGACGCCACGUGAGGGAUGACGGCCUUCGGGUUGUAAACCUCUUUCAGCAGGGAAGAAGCGAAAGUGACGGUACCUGCAGAAGAA
rnacentral:rRNA from 1 species